rnacentral:lncRNA from 1 species
CCAGGUUUUGCUUCAAGUAGGCCACGAGCAAGUGAAUAAUAUUUAUCAUACAGGAUGGUAAAUUAGGAAACGAGAAAUUAAGGACUAUAUGUUGGAGGGGUAUGGUUAUUUUGAAGUUAGGAUAAGUCGGGAGGGACAAGAGUUAUAGCAACUUCUUAUGUUGGCUCGAUCAUUGAAAUAAAAUCUUCUUAGUCAAGAGGACUAGUGAUUCUAGUUCGGUCAAUUGGGG